CCAGUGAGGGAGGGACUUGGAGUCAGCUGCGCGCCUUCUCAGAAAUGACUCCAGGGACUGGGGCAGGCUGGGGUUUCUAGGCUUGCCUGGGGGAGGGCGCUAGAUUAUCUCCACUCCGAGUCAUCAGGAGGUGCCCUUGCAUGGGGCACAUGCACAAGUGAGCUUAGAGUCCCAAAGCCUGGGACUCCUGCUCACAGAGGGAAAAGGAUUUUUUCGAGAGACUCAGCAAGCUUAGUGUCCUAGCUGGGGACCGUAGCUGGUGCUUCCCGGAUUCUGUCUUUGCUGUUCACCCCAUCCCAGGAGGACGCUGCUGACAUGUGAUGACAGAAACCCAGGCAGUAGAAGGCUGUCUUGUUCUGAGAGCCCACCCCUCCCCCAGCCCGUCAGCUCUCUGAAACUGUGUGACUGCUCGAUGGUGACAGCUGGGAGGCCCACUGUCAAAGUACCAAGAAGAACUACAUUCAGACAUGUAGCAGGCUGCUUGGGAAGGAAGAAGCCUGCCUUGUCCAGAGGCAUGAAGGUGAUGAACUGAGGAAGGGCCCAAGGCAAGAAGAGAAGAGGGGAGACACCUUCUUCUGGAAGAAUCCACUCUCACACCAGAACCUUUUCUUCAGCUUCAAGGACUAAUUGUGAAACACCUUGCUUAGAAGGCACCAUGCAGGAGUCAGUUGCUGGGACAGGAGCGCUCUGUAGGCAAGCUUACUGUUCUCUCUCAGAGUGAGACUAGCUUCCAUGUCUAAGCAGUUAGAAGAGCAGUGCUCUUUAAUUUAGCACAUCAGCAAUGCAUAGGGAGAUAAAACUGAGAAAUUUUCUUGGAGAACAUAGUGACUGAUCCAGGGCCCAUAAAUGUCCCAAGACUGUGCAGCCAGAUGUCCCCCUAUUCUGGCCUGGUGAAAGCUUCAUGCUGUUGUAGCCUCCCCCAGCCUUGAGUAGACUGGCUUUGACCUUGCUGCCACUGAGAAUGAGGCCACCUGGGAUGGAACCUUCCGACUUAAAUGGCUCUAUUGUCCUGUCACCUGCCACUGCUCUUCUCCAAGACACUGCUACCUGCUGAG